rnacentral:rRNA from 2 species
UUCCGGUUGAUCCUGCCGGACCUGACUGCUAUCGGAUUGAUACUAAGCCAUGCGAGUCAUUGUAGCAAUACAAGGCAUACGGCUCAGUAACGCGUAGUCAACCUACCCUAUGGACGGAAAUAACCUCGGGAAACUGAGAAUAAUAUCCGAUAGAACAUUAUGCCUGGAAUGGUUUAUGUUCCAAAUGAUUUAUCGCCGUAGGAUGGGACUGCGGCCUAUCAGUUUGUUGGUGAGGUAAUGGCCCACCAAGACUAUUACAGGUACGGGCUCUGAGAGGAGUAGCCCGGAGAUGGGUACUGAGACACGGACCCAGGCCCUAUGGGGCGCAGCAGGCGAGAAAACUUUGCAAUGUGCGAAAGCACGACAAGGUUAAUCCGAGUGAUUUCUGCUAAAGAAAUCUUUUGUUAGUCCUAGAAACACUAACGAAUGAGGGGUGGGCAAGUUCUGGUGUCAGCCGCCGCGGUAAAACCAGCACCUCAAGUGGUCAGGAUGAUUAUUGGGCCUAAAGCAUCCGUAGCCGGCUCUGUAAGUCCUCGGUUAAAUCUGUACGCUUAACGUACAGGCUGCCGGGAAUACUGCAUAGCUAGGGAGUGGGAGAGGUAGACGGUACUCGGUAGGAAGGGGUAAAAUCCUUUGAUCUAUUGAUGACCACCUGUGGCGAAGGCGGUCUACCAGAACACGUCCGACGGUGAGGGAUGAAAGCUGGGGGAGCAAACCGGAUUAGAUACCCGGGUAGUCCCAGCUGUAAACUAUGCAAACUCAGUGAUGCAUUGGCUUGUGGCCAAUGCAGUGCUGCAGGGAAGCCGUUAAGUUUGCCGCCUGGGAAGUACGUACGCAAGUAUGAAACUUAAAGGAAUUGGCGGGGGAGCACCACAA